CAACGCGGAUAGUUCGUUGAAUAAUUAAACAAACUAAAUGGCAUCACUGGUGGUUCUUUUUUCCACUCCGCUAAACUGUCAUCUCAAACAAAAACAAAUGGAUCAUACAACUGCUAUGAAUACAUUCGACUCGUUUGCUUCCAUCAAUCGGUAAGUGAGAAAGAUGAUUUCUCCCAUCACCACAGUGCGGAUUUCCACUUCUAUCACAGAAGCCAACAACAUCCGUUUUCCUGCAGCAGUAACCUCCAACCCCUGUUGGCAAUGCUGGGGGACAGCAUUAACAGCAGCAGCAGCAGAAUUUGACCAUGGUAUGGUAUUGCGAAGAACUUUCCCCAUUAGAGGUUCCGUGCUUCGCGCACAUUCAAAAAUCCUCUUCAGACACGAAAACUCAACGACAAGGAGGUAUUUAUCAACUUGCUCAGCUGAAUUACCACCCGGAGGAACCCGAAUGCACUGAUUCCGUUGUAUAGUAGAAUGAAAAUAGGCGAGGUAAGCGAACGUAAUCGCAUGAUAUUUUAAUGUUCGCAUUUUUAUCCGGAUCAUACAACUGCUAUGAAUACAUCCGACUCAAUCAAUCGGCGAAUGAGAAAGAUGAUUUCCCUCAUCACCACAUUGCUUAUUUCCACUUCUGUCACACCAGCCAACAGCAUCAGCUUUCCCGCAGCAGUAUCCUUUAAGUCCAGGGUGCUAUUCCGGGGAACAGCAUCAACAGCAACAGCAGCAGGACCUGGCCAUCGAUAGUAUUUCGAUCAAUUUUCCCCAUCGGAGAUCCCGUGCUUCACGCACAUUGAAGAAUCCUCCUCAGCCACAUAUCUGUGUCAUCAAGGGCAAGGAGGUAUUCAUCAAUGUACUCAGUCGGAUUUGAAUCGUCAAUCCAGACAACCCGGAUGCACCGAUUCCAUUAUAUACCUUAUUUUUAUUAUACAUGGAUUUUUAUUAUUUUUUUUCGAUAAAAUGAUUAAAAUCGAUCAAUGUAUUUCCUUUUCAUUUUCAAUAACAAACCAAUACAAACAAGCAGCAAGCAGUGCUGGAAGCAGCGCUGCAAGCAGGUCGACGCCUUGCACAUGUUGGCGAAAAAGUAGCGUCAAGUUGUUCGAUGAAUGCAUAUGAAAGGUCGAUAACUCGAUUGCAAGGUGGCAUCAUUUGAGGUCGAUUGUUGACAUUUCAUCGACCCGAUCUUGGCAGGCAAAACGGAAUGUGGGUACCUAAACUCGUUACCACUGACACACUGGAGAAAUAGUUUAGUAAAAGCAGCUACCAAAUCUUUA